GCCUAAAGAGAAGCUUGCGGCUGAUUAGCUUGUUGGUAAGGUAAUGGCUUACCAAGGCGACGAUCAGUAUCUGGUUUGAGAGGACGAUCAGACACACUGGAACUGAGACACGGUCCAGACUCCUACGGGAGGCAGCAGUGGGGAAUUUUCCGCAAUGGGCGAAAGCCUGACGGAGCAAUACCGCGUGAGGGAUGACGGCCUAUGGGUUGUAAACCUCUUUUUUCAGGGAGGAACAAAAUGACGUUACCUGAAGAAUAAGCAUCGGCUAACUCCGUGCCAGCAGCCGCGGUAAGACGGGGGAUGCAAGUGUUAUCCGGAAUCACUGGGCGUAAAGCGUCUGUAGGUGGUUUAAUAAGACAACUGUUAAAUCUUGAGGCUUAACUUCAAAAUCGCAGUCGAAACUAUUAGACUAGAGUAUAGUAGGGGUAAAGGGAAUUUCCAGUGGAGCGGUGAAAUGCGUAGAGAUUG
rnacentral:rRNA from 1 species